AGAACAGAUAGAAAGAAUUAGAUCACAUCACGUUCUUUCCCCAAGCUCCCUCCUUUCUGUCUUUUAUUUGUAUUUUUUCCUUCUCUUCUCUUUUCAUU
rnacentral:ribozyme from 1 species